AGUCACUGACAUUAGAUACCCGUGUAGUCCAGGGUGUAAACGCUGCAGACUUGGUGUUGGAGGCCCUUUGGGGGCAUUCAGUGCCGGAGAGAAGUUGUUAAGUCUGCUACUUGGGGAGUACGUCCGCAAGGAUGAAACUUAAAGGAAUUGGCGGGGGAGCACCGCAACGGGAGGAGCGUGCGGUUUAAUUGGGUUCAACACCGUAAACUCACCAGGGAAGACUGUUACAUGAAGGCCGAGAUGAAGACUCUGCUAGAUUUUCAG
rnacentral:rRNA from 1 species